rnacentral:rRNA from 1 species
CAACCUGCCGAUGACUCGGGGAUAGCCUUUCGAAAGAAAGAUUAAUACCCGAUGGCAUAGUUCUUCCGCAUGGUAGAACUAUUAAAGAACUUCGGUCAUCGAUGGGGAUGCGUUCCAUUAGGUUGUUGGCGGGGUAACGGCCCACCAAGCCUUCGAUGGAUAGGGGUUCUGAGAGGAAGGUCCCCCACAUUGGAACUGAGACACGGUCCAAACUCCUACGGGAGGCAGCAGUGAGGAAUAUUGGUCAAUGGACGAGAGUCUGAACCAGCCAAGUAGCGUGAAGGAUGAAUGCCCUAUGGGUUGUAAACUUCUUUUAUACGGGAAUAAAGUGAGGCACGUGUGCCUUUUUGUAUGUACCGUAUGAAUAAGGAUCGGCUAACUCCGUGCCAGCAGCCGCGGUAAUACGGAGGAUCCGAGCGUUAUCCGGAUUUAUUGGGUUUAAAGGGAGCGUAGGCGGACGCUUAAGUCAGUUGUGAAAGUUUGCGGCUCAACCGUAAAAUUGCAGUUGAUACUGGGUGUCUUGAGUGCAGUUGAGGCAGGCGGAAUUCGUGGUGUAGCGGUGAAAUGCUUAGAUAUCACGAAGAACUCCGAUUG